AGUGAACGCUGGCGGUAGGCCUAACACAUGCAAGUCGAACGGCAGCACAUUAAGAGCUUGCUCUUACGGGUGGCGAGUGGCGGACGGGUGAGGAAUACAUCGGAAUCUACUUUUUCGUGGGGGAUAACGCAGGGAAACUUACGCUAAUACCGCAUACGACCUACGGGUGAAAGCAGGGGAUCUUCGGACCUUGCGCGAUUGAAUGAGCCGAUGUCGGAUUAGCUAGUUGGCGGGGUAAGGGCCCACCAAGGCGACGAUCCGUAGCUGGUCUGAGAGGAUGAUCAGCCACACUGGAACUGAGACACGGUCCAGACUCCUACGGGAGGCAGCAGUGGGGAAUAUUGGACAAUGGGCGCAAGCCUGAUCCAGCCAUACCGCGUGGGUGAAGAAGGCCUUCGGGUUGUAAAGCCCUUUUGUUGGGAAAGAAAAGCAGCAGGUUAAUACCCCGCUGUUCUGACGGUACCCAAAGAAUAAGCACCGGCUAACUUCGUG
rnacentral:rRNA from 1 species